GCAGUACCUAGUUACAUCACGCCUAGAGCAUGAUAAGGCUGCAACAUAUAUUGAAUGAAUGAAUGAAUGAAUGAACUGCCAAGAGUAGCAAAAAAAUGUCCAAAAGUUGGGUCGCAAUGGUACCAGCCUCUGAAAUGAGGUCAUCUGAUCAUAAUAUGAGAAAUUAAAUGAGGCUUCAUUUGAUUACGUACAGAGGACUAUCUUCCACUUGCUCCAAAUUAUCCAUGGUGACAACAUAUACAAAUAAGGGUUCUGGGUUCAAAUGUUGGCUCUGCCACUUAGUAACU
rnacentral:lncRNA from 1 species